GCAGGAGUCCUUCUAAUAAUUUUGAUAGACAAGGAAAAGGCAACCACAGUUUCGGGUAGCAGUCGACUUAAGAACCGUUUCCUCCAGAUCCACGUAUAAAAUAAUGGUCUGGCUGCUAAAGUCUCCAUCCUCUAGGUUUUCCAGUGGACUUAGAGAGCAAAGCUUUGGAGACAGAAUGCCCCCGCUCAAAUGCUUGUUCUGCGCCCCCAGCCCCAGCCACUCCCUCAUCGUGGACAAGCCAGCGAUCCUGUGCGGCCUGGGAACCCUCUGCAGGGUGGCGGGGUGGCGGGGUCGCGGGGCGAAGCACCUGGCCAGGGAGACUUACUAUAGACCUGCAAAGAGGCUGGAACAAGUUACCUGAGCCACAGCCUCAUGGAGACCCAAAGACGUCAAUCCUCACCCAGG
rnacentral:lncRNA from 1 species